GAAACUGGGGGUGUGAGGUCUGACUGCAGCCUGUCACUUCACUGAUUGCCGGGGUUCAUUCAGCUAAUCCAGCUGACUGGGCUGCCUGUCCCCUUCCUCCCUCUCUGCUUCAUGUGCAUCCCUCCUGAAGCUGUGAGCUCCAUUUCCCCAGCAGAGGUAGAUCAGUCUUUCAUCAGGGGUAUAUGAGUAGAUAUGCUCCCCUGGAAGAUCUGCCAAACUCUCAAUAAUGAAUGAUCAUUUGUUACUCAAAAGAAAAUUCUACAGCAAUGUUCCUUUUCAUUGUUGAUAGCUUUUACUAUAUUUUUGAUCAAUUUAU
rnacentral:snRNA from 1 species